UGGGGAAUAUUGCGCAAUGGGCGAAAGCCUGACGCAGCGACGCCGCGUGGGGGAUGAAGGUCUUCGGAUUGUAAACCCCUUUCGGGAGGGAAGAUGGAGUGGGUAACCACUUGGACGGUACCUCCAGAAGCAGCCACGGCUAACUUCGUGCCAGCAGCCGCGGUAAUACGAAGGUGGCAAGCGUUGUUCGGAUUCACUGGGCGUACAGGGAGCGUAGGCGGUUGGGUAAGCCCUCCGUGAAAUCUCCGGGCCUAACCCGGAAAGUGCAGAGGGGACUGCUCAGCUAGAGGAUGGGAGAGGAGCGCGGAAUUCCCGGUGUAGCGGUGAAAUGCGUAGAGAUCGGGAGGAAGGCCGGUGGCGAAGGCGGCGCUCUGGAACAUUUCUGACGCUGAGGCUCGAAAGCGUGGGGAGCAAACAGGAUUAGAUACCCCCGUAGUCCCUGAGCGGGCUGGCAAGGCGCAU
rnacentral:rRNA from 1 species